rnacentral:rRNA from 1 species
UACGUAGGGUCCGAGCGUUGUCCGGAAUUACUGGGCGUAAAGAGCUCGUAGGUGGUUUGUCGCGUUGUCCGUGAAAACUCACAGCUCAACUGUGGGCGUGCGGGCGAUACGGGCAGACUGGAGUACUGCAGGGGAGACUGGAAUUCCUGGUGUAGCGGUGGAAUGCGCAGAUAUCAGGAGGAACACCGGUGGCGAAGGCGCCUGUCUGGCUGACAACUGACGCUGAGACUCGAAAGCAUGGGGAGCAAACAGG